UUGGAGGGCAAGUCUGGUGCCAGCAGCCGCGGUAAUUCCAGCUCCAAUAGCGUAUAUUAAAGUUGUUGCAGUUAAAAAGCUCGUAGUUGAAUUUCGGGGUUAGUAGGUUGGUCAUGCCUCUGGUAUGUACUGGUCUCACUGAUUCCUCCUUCCUGAUGAACCUUAAUGCCAUUUAUUUGGUGUUUUGGGGAAUUUGGACUGUUACUUUGAGAAAAUUAGAGUGUUUAAAGCAAGCUAACGCUUGAAUACAUUAGCAUGGAAUAAUGAAAUAGGACGUUCGAUCCUAUUUUGUUGGUUUCUAGGAUUGACGUAAUGAUUAAUAGGGAUAGUUGGGGGCAUUAGUAUUCAAUUGUCAGAGGUGAAAUUCUUGGAUUUAUUGAAGACUAACUACUGCGAAAGCAUUUGCCAAGGAUGUUUUCAUUAAUCAAGAACGAAAGUUAGGGGAUCGAAGACGAUCAGAUACCGUCGUAGUCUUAACCAUAAACUAUGCCAACUAGGAAUCAGACGAUGUUAAUUUUUUAAUGACUCGUUCGGCGCCUUACGGGAAAC
rnacentral:rRNA from 1 species